ensembl:lncRNA
AUGUGUGCGUCAGGAAGAUUCUUUUUGUCUACUACAGAUCUUCGUACGAUGACCCAACGAAACAGUAAGUGUUGUGUUCCUCCAUGCUCUCGUCCUAUGUAUGAGCUGGAUACGCAUGAUUACUGUUUUGUUUGUUUGGGGGAAGAGCACGCGGUUCUGGCUUUAGAGACGGGCGAGUGCGAGCAUUGUGAACUGUUCUCAGUGAAGAUGCUUCGUGCUCGUCUGAACUAUUUUCAGACCGCACCCACCUUUUCGUCGGAGGGCUCUCGUGCGGGUCUGCGUGACGAGCGAGCGACGGGCCCGUCCCUUUCGCUUACAGUGUCACCAGAUCCACGCAUCCUCUCUCGUGAUCUCGAAGCGCGCUCCGGUGCUUCUUCGAUUCACGAGGAGGAUGAUAUAUCUCUUGAGUCUUCGGGCGAUGAGCAGGCCUCUGAACGCUCCUCUCGCGAGAGGAAAUCGGUCGAGGAGCUGCUCGAGGUGGUUACUCGCGCGGUGGACAGGCUGCAGCUUGACUGGCCACGCGACCAAGAGACCCCCAAACGUAGUAAGCUGGAGGAUAGGUUUCUGUCGGGUGGUAGGAGAGAGAGACCGCAACAUCAGUCUCUCCCCUUUUUCGAGGACCUCCAUGAUGAACUGUCGAAGUCAUGGAGCAAACCAUAUACUUCCCGCAUCUUUGUGCCCUCGACGUUGACUUUUUCAACUAUCGUGGAUGCAAAAUCGCGGGGAUAUUCGGAGAUGCCUCGGGUUGAAGAGUCGCUUGCGAGCUAUCUCUCACCUGAAUCUGCAUCCUCGGUGAAGAAACCUACUCUCCCCACUAAACCUUGUAGAAUUACAUCAUCGCUAGUGGGUAAAGCUUACCAAGCUGCAGGUCAGGCUGGUGCUGCGCUGCACACUAUGGCAGUGUUACAGGCAUACCAGGCUGACCUAUUGAAGGACUUGAGUGUGGGCAGUACAAUCGACGAGGAAGCAUUCGCUGAGCUUCGGCGGGCCACAGAUUUGUCUCUCCGGGCGACCAAGCAGACGGCUCGUGCCAUUGGCCGGUCGAUGUCAGCUUUAGUCAGCACGGAGAGGCAUCUGUGGCUUAAUUUGACGGGCAUUAAAGAGAAGGAACGUUUGUUUCUUUUAGACUCCCCUAUCUCUCCAUCUGGCCUGUUUGGCGAUUCAGUUAAUUCGGUCGUCGACAGGUUUAGGGAAGUAAAGAAACAUGAAGAAGCGUUCGUUCAGUUUCUUCCUCGCCGCACUCAAGGGGAGGGGCCAUCAGCCACCCAGCCUCGCCCCGGUCCUUCAAAAACCAGGGAGGUUAAAAAGCAGAGCGUGACAGACCGUGCUCCCCCUCGUAGGGAUUGGGGACAGGUUCGCCGUGCUCAGCAACCUCCCAAGCCAGACCUCAGGACUUUUAUUAAUAGGAAGAAGAAGUCCUGA